rnacentral:rRNA from 1 species
AUUGAACGCUGGCUGCAGGCCUAACACAUGCAAGUCGAGCGGUAGCACAGAGAGCUUGCUCUCGGGUGACGAGCGGCGGACGGGUGAGUAAUGUCUGGGAAACUGCCUGAUGGAGGGGGAUAACUACUGGAAACGGUAGCUAAUACCGCAUAACGUCGCAAGACCAAAGUGGGGGACCUUCGGGCCUCAUGCCAUCAGAUGUGCCCAGAUGGGAUUAGCUAGUAGGUGGGGUAAUGGCUCACCUAGGCGACGAUCCCUAGCUGGUCUGAGAGGAUGACCAGCCACACUGGAACUGAGACACGGUCCAGACUCCUACGGGAGGCAGCAGUGGGGAAUAUUGCACAAUGGGCGCAAGCCUGAUGCAGCCAUGCCGCGUGUGUGAAGAAGGCCUUCGGGUUGUAAAGCACUUUCAGCGGGGAGGAAGGCGGUGAGGUUAAUAACCUCAUCGAUUGACGUUACCCGCAGAAGAAGCACCGGCUAACUCCGUGCCAGCAGCCGCGGUAAUACGGAGGGUGCAAGCGUUAAUCGGAAUUACUGGGCGUAAAGCGCACGCAGGCGGUCUGUCAAGUCGGAUGUGAAAUCCCCGGGCUCAACCUGGGAACUGCAUUCGAAACUGGCAGGCUAGAGUCUUGUAGAGGGGGGUAGAAUUCCAGGUGUAGCGGUGAAAUGCGUAGAGAUCUGGAGGAAUACCGGUGGCGAAGGCGGCCCCCUGGACAAAGACUGACGCUCAGGUGCGAAAGCGUGGGGAGCAAACAGGAUUAGAUACCCUGGUAGUCCACGCCGUAAACGAUGUCGAUUUGGAGGUUGUGCCCUUGAGGCGUGGCUUCCGGAGCUAACGCGUUAAAUCGACCGCCUGGGGAGUACGGCCGCAAGGUUAAAACUCAAAUGAAUUGACGGGGGCCCGCACAAGCGGUGGAGCAUGUGGUUUAAUUCGAUGCAACGCGAAGAACCUUACCUGGUCUUGACAUCCACAGAACUUUCCAGAGAUGGAUUGGUGCCUUCGGGAACUGUGAGACAGGUGCUGCAUGGCUGUCGUCAGCUCGUGUUGUGAAAUGUUGGGUUAAGUCCCGCAACGAGCGCAACCCUUAUCCUUUGUUGCCAGCGGUCCGGCCGGGAACUCAAAGGAGACUGCCAGUGAUAAACUGGAGGAAGGUGGGGAUGACGUCAAGUCAUCAUGGCCCUUACGACCAGGGCUACACACGUGCUACAAUGGCAUAUACAAAGAGAAGCGACCUCGCGAGAGCAAGCGGACCUCAUAAAGUAUGUCGUAGUCCGGAUUGGAGUCUGCAACUCGACUCCAUGAAGUCGGAAUCGCUAGUAAUCGUAGAUCAGAAUGCUACGGUGAAUACGUUCCCGGGCCU